rnacentral:tRNA from 1 species
GCAUUGGUGGUUCAGUGGUAGAAUUCUUGCCUUCCAUGUUUUUUAUGUAACAGACCCGAGUUCGAUUCCAGCUAAUGCA